CCUACGGGUGGCAGCAGUGGGGAAUAUUGGGCAAUGGAGGAAACCCUGACCCAGCAACGCCGCGUGAAUGAUGAAGGUCUUCUGAUUUUAAAGUUCUUUUCUAAGGGAAGAAGAAAGUGACGGUACCUUAGGAAUAAGCCUCGGCUAACUACGUGCCAGCAUCCGCUGUAAUACGUAGGAGGCGAUCGUUAUCCGGAAUGACUGGGCGUAAAGGGUUCGUAGGUUUUUUGGCAAGUUAGUAGGGUAACUCCAAGGCUCAACCUUGGAACUACUACUAAAACUGUUGGACUUGAGUGCAGGAGGGGCAACCGGAAUGCGUGGUGUAGCGGUGGAAUGCGUAGAUAUUAGGAGGAACACCAGUGGCGAAGGCAGGUUGCUAGACUGUAACUGACACUGAGGCACGAAAGCGUGGGGAGCAAACAGGAUUAGAUACCCUUGUAGUC
rnacentral:rRNA from 1 species